CCUACGGGAGGCAGCAGUAGGGAAUCUUCCACAAUGGGCGAAAGCCUGAUGGAGCAACGCCGCGUGGGUGAAGAAGGUCUUCGGAUCGUAAAACCCUGUUGUUAGAGAAGAAAGUGCGUGAGAGUAACUGUUCACGUUUCGACGGUAUCUAACCAGAAAGCCACGGCUAACUACGUGCCAGCAGCCGCGGUAAUACGUAGGUGGCAAGCUUUAUCCGGAUUUAUUGGGCGUAAAGGGAACGCAGGCGGUCUUUUAAGUCUGAUGUGAAAGCCUUCGGCUUAACCGGAGUAGUGCAUUGGAAACUGGGAGACGUGAGUGCAGAAGAGGAGAGUGGAACUCCAUGUGUAGCGGUGAAAUGCGUAGAUAUAUGGAAGAACACCAGUGGCGAAAGCGGCUCUCUGGUCUGUAACUGACGCUGAGGUUCGAAAGCGUGGGUAGCAAACAGGAUGAGAUACCCUUGUAGUC
rnacentral:rRNA from 1 species